GUCUUCGUGGUGUAGUCGGUUAUCACGUCGGUCUCAUAUGUCGCUAUAUGACUGUCUGGUCAACCAGACGGCGAUCCGAAGGUCACGAGUUCGAAUCUCGUCGAGGACA
rfam:Coniosporium apollinis CBS 100218 chromosome Tnknown supercont1.28, whole genome shotgun sequence.